CAUAGCGACUAUCGUGGCAUAUCAAUAAGCGGAGGAAAAGAAACUAACAAGGAUUCCCUUAGUAACGGCGAGUGAAGCGGGAAGAGCUCAAAUUUGAAAUCUUCAAGGUUUUACCUUGACGAAUUGUAGUUUAAAGAAGUGUUUUCUGUUGGAGUUUUGGUAAAAGUUCUUUGGAAUAGGACAUCAUAGAGGGUGAGAAUCCCGUAUUUGACCAUUAUUUUCAGCUGUGUGAUACACUUUCAAAGAGUCGGAUUGUUUGGGAAUGCAGUCCAAAAUGGGUGGUAAAUUUCAUCUAAAGCUAAAUAUUGGCGAGAGACCGAUAGCGAACAAGUACCGUGAGGGAAAGAUGAAAAGAACUUUGAAAAGAGAGUUAAACAGUACGUGAAAUUGUCAAAAGGGAAGCGUUUGACACCAGUGUUGUUUUUCCGAAAAUCAAUUACGAAUGUUUUAUUUUCGAGGAGUUAUGACUUCAUCGGCUUGCUCCUUUCUUUAUGAAACUUUCUUAAUGCACUUUUCGGUUAACAAGUCAACAUCAAUUUCUUUUGUUGUAAAAGGGUAUGAGGAAGGUGGCUUUCUUUUCGGAGAAAGUGUUUAUAGCCUUGUGCCUCUGCAAUCGGAGAGAUUGAGGUCUGCAGCGUAGAUCCUUCGGGGUUAGAUACGUUUGUGCUAAGUUAUAGCUUUUCAUAGACAACUUGUUGACUAUGUUUAGUCUUGUAGCUUACUCGCUGACGCUAUUUUACCUACGCUUAGGAUGUUGAUAGUCACAGCGUGUAC
rnacentral:rRNA from 1 species